GAUCAUGGCUCAGGACGAACGCUGGCGGCACGCUUAACACAUGCAAGUCGAACGGAGAACAUUGAGUUUGCUUAAUGUUCUUAGUGGCGGACGGGUGAGUAACACGUGAGUAACCUGCCUCUGAGAGUGGGAUAGCUUCUGGAAACGGAUGGUAAUACCGCAUAACAUCAUGGAUUCGCAUGUUUCUGUGAUCAAAGAUUUAUCGCUUAGAGAUGGACUCGCGU
rnacentral:rRNA from 1 species